ACCUAAUUAAACCAUUUACCCAUUCACUUGAUGUUUCUCGACUUUACUCUUUGCAUCAAAUUGUAUUAAUCUCUUUAUAAAGCCUUAGUUCCAUGAGUGUGGCAUGUCCAUUAUGGUUGUCAAAGAUGCUUGAGUUGGUAUUCAAUUCAAUAACGAAUUACUUUAUAAAGCAGGAUACAAGAUCAAUGUAUCCUCUUGAUAAAAUCAGUCAUGUGUAGUAGAGCUGUUUAAAAGAAAGAAAUCAUCCAAAGACCAUGUAGUUGGGUUUUCUUUUAUGUGUUAGCAAUUUUGAAUUCCCUUGUGGAAGGGGCGUGAAAUGAGAUUGCAUUGUGUUGCUUAUUGGAGGAAAUUUAAUCCGUUCAAGACCAGUUUACAAACUGGUUGGUUUUUGUUCAUGGACUGGCUCACAUCUUCAAUGAACUGGGCUACACGGCUGAAAGGAACAAAAGUGCCCUCCUCUUCCGAGACUUGGACCAGCAGUAUUCCAUCUUUCAAAUA